GAGUUUGAUCCUGGCUCAGAGUGAACGCUGGCGGCAGGCCUAACACAUGCAAGUCGAACGGCAGCACAGCAGUAGCAAUACUGUGGGCGGCGAGUGGCGGACGGGUGAGGAAUGCAUCGGAAUCUGCCUAUUUGUGGGGGAUAACGUAGGGAAACUUACGCUAAUACCGCAUACGUCCUACGGGAGAAAGUGGGGGACCUUCGGGCCUCACGCAGAUAGAUGAGCCGAUGCCGGAUUAGCUAGUUGGCGGGGUAAAGGCCCACCAAGGCGACGAUCCGUAGCUGGUCUGAGAGGAUGAUCAGCCACACUGGAACUGAGACACGGUCCAGACUCCUACGGGAGGCAGCAGUGGGGAAUAUUGGACAAUGGGCGCAAGCCUGAUCCAGCCAUGCCGCGUGAGUGAAGAAGGCC
rnacentral:rRNA from 1 species